GCCGGGCAUGGUGGCGCAUGCCUGUAAUCCCAGCUACUCGGGAGGUUGAGGCAGGAGAAUUGCUUGAACCCAAGAGGCAGAGGUUUCAGUGAGCUGAGAUCGAGUCAUUGCACUCCAGCCUGGGUGACAGAGCAAGACUCUGUCUCAA
rnacentral:SRP_RNA from 1 species